rnacentral:rRNA from 1 species
CCUACGGGAGGCAGCAGUAGGGAAUCUUCCACAAUGGGCGAAAGCCUGAUGGAGCAACGCCGCGUGGGUGAAGAAGGUCUUCGGAUCGUAAAACCCUGUUGUCAGAGAAGAAAGUGCGUGAGAGUAACUGUUCACGCUUCGACGGUCUCUAACCAGAAAGCCACGGCUAACUACGUGCCAGCAGCCGCGGUAAUACGUAGGUGGCAAGCGUUAUCCGGAUUCAUUGGGCGUAAGGGGAACGCAGGCGGUCUUUUAAGUCUGAUGUGAAAGCCUUCGGCUUAACCGGCGUAGUGCAUUGGAAACUGGGAGACUUGAGUGCAGAAGAGGAGGGUGGAACUCCAUGUGUAGCGGUGAAAUGCGUAGAUAUAUGGAGGAACACCAGUGGCGAAGGCGGCUCUCUGGUCUGUAACUGACGCUGAGGUUCGAAAGCGUGGGUAGCAAACAGGAUUAGAUACCCCGGUAGUC